rnacentral:rRNA from 1 species
UGCCCUAGUAACGGCGAGUGAAGCGGCAACAGCUCAAAUUUGAAAUCUGGCUUCGGCCCGAGUUGUAAUUUGCAGAGGAUGUUUCUGGCGCGGUGCCUUCCGAGUUCCCUGGAACGGGACGCCACAGAGGGUGAGAGCCCCGUAUGGUCGGACACCAAGCCUGUGUGAAACUCCUUCGACGAGUCGAGUAGUUUGGGAAUGCUGCUCUAAAUGGGAGGUAAAUCUCUUCUAAAGCUAAAUACCGGCCAGAGACCGAUAGCGCACAAGUAGAGUGAUCGAAAGAUGAAAAGCACCUUGAAAAGGGGGUUAAAUAGUACGUGAAAUUGUUGAAAGGGAAGCACUUGUGACCAGACUUGGGCCGGGCGGCUCAUCAGGGGUUCUCCCCUGUGCACUCCGCCCGGCACAGGCCAGCAUCGGUUCUCGUGGGGGGAUAAGACCGUCAGGAACGUAGCACCCUCCGGGGUGUGUUAUAGCCUGGCGGACGAUACCCCCGUGGGGACCGAGGUUCGCGCUCCGCAAGGAUGCUGGCGUAAUGGUCACCAGUGACCCGUCUUGAAACACGGACCAAGGAGUCGUCCAUUAGAGCGAGCGUUUGGGUGUAAAACCCGCACGCGUAAUGAAAGUGAACGCAGGUGAGAGCUUCGGCGCAUCAUCGACCGAUCCUGAUGUUCUCGGAAGGAUUUGAGUAAGAGUUUUAACGGACGGACCCGAAAGACAGUGAACUAUGCUUGAAUAGGGUGAAGCCAGAGGAAACUCUGGUGGAGGCUCGCAGCGGUUCUGACGUGCAAAUCGAUCGUCAAAUUUGAGCAUGGGGGCGAAAGACUAAUCGAACUGUCUAGUAGCUGGUUACC